AACCACUUCGGUGGUCAUCCGUAAAAAUUGGAACGAUACAGAGAAGAUUAGCAUGGCCCCUGCGCAACGCAUAAAUCGAGAAGUAUCGCACUUUUUG
rnacentral:snRNA from 1 species